rnacentral:rRNA from 1 species
GACGAACGCUGGCGGCGUGCUUAACACAUGCAAGUCGAACGGGAAGGCCCGGCCUUGUGGCGGUGCUCGAGUGGCGAACGGGUGAGUAACACGUGAGUAAGCUGUCCCUGACUGUGGGGUAACUUCAGGAAACUGGGUGUAAUACCGGCUAGGAGUUCCCGCUGCAUGGUGGGGGUGGGAAAGUUUCGGCUGUUGGGGAUGGACUGGCGGCUUAUUAGCUUGUUGGUGGGGUAGUGGGUUACCAAGGCCUUGACGGGUAGCCGGGCUGGGCGGGUAACCGGCCACGUUGCGCCUGGGCUGCGACCCAGCCUCGUCCGCGAGGCAGCGGUGGGGAAUGUUGCACAAUGGGCGGAGCCCUAACGCAGUAACGCCGCGUCGGGGAUGACGGCCAUCGGGUUGUAAACCGCUUCCCUUUGUGCCGAAGCGUGAGUGACGGUAACGGGUAAAGAAGCACCGGCUAACUACGUG